AAACCAUGGUGAGGGCAUUCUAAGAGGUGGUCCUUAAAUCUCUCCAUGAACUUAGAGAAUGACUCAUACGGUUUCUGCCUGAACUAGAGGAUGUCACUCUUAAGCUU